UAAUUUCAUAUACAUCGAGGUUUUGUGUUCAAUUCCCUUCUUUCAAUAUCGAUGAUGUAAAAAAAUAUUUCACAUUUUUUUUGUUCGAAAAUAACUAUUCAUGUCAACAAAUCUCCAAGUUUUUCUUUAUUUCCUUACAUUGAAAAAAAGAAAAAAGAAAAAAGAAAAAAAAGAAGCCAGUCUAAUGGGGACCUUUGUUUUAGGUAUUCUUGUCAAAAUGGCAUUCAAAUGCAAAUUCAACACAAAAUCGUUCAGAAAUGGUAGUGGAUAGCAUUUCUUCAAAACAAAGUCAUCCCCAUCUAAUUUCUCUCUCUCUCUCUCUCUCUCUCUCUCUCUCUCUCUCUCAAACAUUAUUACCCAGUUACAAACACACUCUUUUCAUGACAAUUAGGAAUUCCCUUUCAUCUUUAAACCAACCCAAAGAAUACCAAAACGAAAUAGCUAACGUUUUCAGCUCAAAUGGGCUUUAAAGCCAUCGCGUGUGAUAUGAGAAAAACGUACGUCGGCAGAUUCACAGGAAUGCCUUCACGAUGUAGUUGCUGUCUGAAACCGAAAGGGUCUCCCAGAAUUCAUCUGCAAAAUCAGAUUCAGUUCAUAUUUCCUUCUUCAGGAUAAAUGGUCGGUGGAAGCUAAACUUAAAUGCUUUAUUUAUAUUAGGGGGAAGAAGCAGAAGCAGGACAAGUCCACAAAAUCAAAAGGGGGCCAAAGUCAACCAAAUUUUACAUUGCUAGAUUUUACAUUUGAGUCAAGUCACUCAGGUGGAAACUAUGAUUGAUGAAAGAAACAAUCUCUUCUACACAGCUUCGCAAAUCUAAAACACUAAAUCGAGGUGUUUUUACAAGUGGAUGUGUCUAAAGUCAGGCAUGUGAUCAUCAAAGGCAAUUGAAAUUUCUCAAAGGAACCCAGAUGAAAGUCCAAGAAUUUGAUAAAGUGAAAAAAGCUAUGCCAUUAACAUCA